GUGCUCACUUCAGCAAAACGUAAGCUAAAAUUGGAACAAUACAGAGAAAAUUAGCCUGAGACUCACUCAAGAAUGAUCCCAAAUUCUUGAGGUGCUCCAUAUUGUU
ensembl:snRNA U6 U6 spliceosomal RNA